CUGAGGUGGCCCAUGUGGAGCCUGACAGAACUAGACAAGAAGGCAUUUGUGUUAUUCCUAAAAGUGGAUAAAUCUGAACUUCCUAUAUGUAAGUUCUGCUUCACUGGUUCCUCCAAUUUGAAUUGGCCCAAUGCUUGCUGAAGAAACUUGUUUUAUUCUCCUAAGAUAAUACUCUUAUUUUUUAAACCUUUUUCUAUUGUUUGAGAAAAAUCAGUGUUUCUUGUGAAACUGUAAAUCUCCAAAAAUACUAAUAAAAUACUAAUAAAAAGUGA